rnacentral:rRNA from 1 species
AGUGAACGCUGGCGGUAGGCCUAACACAUGCAAGUCGAACGGCAGCACAGUAAGCGCUUGCUCUUACGGGUGGCGAGUGGCGGACGGGUGAGGAAUACAUCGGAAUCUACUUUUUCGUGGGGGAUAACGUAGGGAAACUUACGCUAAUACCGCAUACGACCUACGGGUGAAAGCAGGGGAUCUUCGGACCUUGCGCGAUUAAAUGAGCCGAUGUCGGAUUAGCUAGUUGGCGGGGUAAAGGCCCACCAAGGCGACGAUCCGUAGCUGGUCUGAGAGGAUGAUCAGCCACACUGGAACUGAGACACGGUCCAGACUCCUACGGGAGGCAGCAGUGGGGAAUAUUGGACAAUGGGCGCAAGCCUGAUCCAGCCAUACCGCGUGGGUGAAGAAGGCCUUCGGGUUGUAAAGCCCUUUUGUUGGGAAAGAAAAGCAGCAGGUUAAUACCCCGCUGUUCUGACGGUACCCAAAGAAUAAGCACCGGCUAACUUCGUG